GACGAACGCUGGCGGCGUGCUUAACACAUGCAAGUUGAACGGGUCAUAUAUGAAGGGUAACCGGAGUGUAUGGCUAGUGGCGAACGGGUGAGUAAUGCAUGAGAACGUAUCCUCAAGAGGGGGACAACAUUGGGAAACCGAUGCUAAUACCCCAUAAGCCGGGAGGUAAAAGGAGCAAUCCGGUACAUGAGAGACUCGCGUCCUAUCAGCUAGUAGGUGGGGUAACGGCCCACCUAGGCGAAGACGGGUAGCCGGCCUGAGAGGGCGAACGGCCACACUGGAACCGAGACACGGUCCAGACUCCUACGGGAGGCAGCAGUGGGGAAUAUUGGGCAAUGGAGGGAACUCUGACCCAGCGACGCCGCGUGAGUGAAGAAAUCCCUCGGGAUGUAAAGCUCUGUUGUGUGGGAAGAUAAUGACGGUACCACACGAGGAAGCCCCGGCAAACUACGUGCCAGCCGCCGCCGUAA
rnacentral:rRNA from 1 species